GAUAAUGUAGAACUUGACAGUCAGAAAGAAGUAGAUGGUUUCUUUACUGAUGAAUGUGGCCUCACUGGUGGGAACCUGAGCCAGGUCCUCUUUAUGGAAGGGGAUGGAUUUUAUAUCCAGGUAGAGUUGCUCAGAAUUUUCCAGGUGGCUUGUUCGCUGGAACCGAGGCAGAUACAGAUCUUCUAGGUCUUAUGAUGCAGCUACAUCCUAAUAAAUCCAUAGUAAGCUGAAAAUACAAGUCAAACCAUCCAGGACGCUUCCAGCUGCAUGUGGAGGGCACCGUCAUGCACCGGCGGUAAAGCUGGCAUUGGAGAAGGAGAGAUGGUGGCUUGAACUCAAUCAAAAGAGGUGGAGGUGGUGAGCAGAGGGCUGAGAGACAGAGAGCACCAAGAUGACGGAAUCGCCUUUGUGCAAAACCCUCGCCUGACCGUCACUGAGGACCGGGAUGAAAGGCUGAUUGAUGUCCUGACUUUUCACAUUUUGCGUAGAGGCCUGCUCCCCGCGACAGACCCCCUCUGAGGGCGAGGGGCAGGUUCCAAUUUGGGGCAACUCUUGAAUCAAGUUGUGGCAGUGUUGGAACCGGCCGGGGGGUCGGCGGGGUGGCCCGGCCGCCGGGCCUCUCUCGCUGGGUCAUCUGCUUCGGGGUUGGCUUAUGAAACAUGAAAGAG